UAGAUGACUAAUGAAGUUAUAAGAAAAAAACAUUUUGAAUUGCUCCAAAUGAUGGUUGUUCAAGUAUCCACCAUUAUAUUAUGCAAUGAUACUGAAUUAUGAUAUUCAAAAUCCAAAAGACCUGGUUCCCAUUGUCAUGAUCAUAUGUCAUCUUGUAUUGAAUAUAUUGUUAUGAAUGAAAUGAGUUAAUUUGGUUUUN
rnacentral:lncRNA from 1 species